rnacentral:rRNA from 1 species
AACGCUAGCGGCAGGCUUAACACAUGCAAGUCGAGGGGCAGCGGGGAGGAAGCUUGCUUUCUCCGCCGGCGACCGGCGCACGGGUGAGUAACACGUAUGCAACCUGCCCCUGUCAGGGGGACAACCCGCCGAAAGGCGGGCUAAACCCGCGUACAUGCCACCGGGGCAUCCCGGAGGCAGGAAAGGCUUCGGCCGGACAGGGAUGGGCAUGCGGCGCAUUAGGCAGUAGGCGGGGUAACGGCCCACCUAACCGACGAUGCGUAGGGGUUCUGAGAGGAAGGUCCCCCACACUGGUACUGAGACACGGACCAGACUCCUACGGGAGGCAGCAGUGAGGAAUAUUGGUCAAUGGUCGGGAGACUGAACCAGCCAAGCCGCGUGAGGGAGGAAGGUACAGAGUAUCGUAAACCUCUUUUGUCAGGGAACAAAGGCGGGGACGUGUCCCCGGAUGAGUGUACCUGAAGAAAAAGCAUCGCUAACUCCGUGCCAGCAGCCGCGGUAAUACGGAGGAUGCGAGCGUUAUCCGGAUUUAUUGGGUUUAAAGGGUGCGCAGGCGGUCUGUUAAGUCAGCGGUCAAAGCCCGGGGCUCAACCCCGGCCCGCCGUUGAAACUGGCAGUCUCGAGUUGGAGAGAAGUAUGCGGAAUGCGCGGUGUAGCGGUGAAAUGCAUAGAUAUCGCGCAGAACUCCGAUUGCGAAGGCAGCAUGCCGGCUCCACACUGACGCUGAGGCACGAAAGCGUGGGUAUCGAACAGGAUUAGAUACCCUGGUAGUCCACGCAGUAAACGAUGAAUGCUGGCUGUCCGGGGGGAUUGACCCCUGGGUGGCGAAGCGAAAGCGAUAAGCAUUCCACCUGGGGAGUACGCCGGCAACGGUGAAACUCAAAGGAAUUGACGGGGGCCCGCACAAGCGGAGGAACAUGUGGUUUAAUUCGAUGAUACGCGAGGAACCUUACCCGGGCUCAAACGGGGAGUGACUCAGGCAGAGACGCCUGUUUCCCACGGGACACUCCCCGAGGUGCUGCAUGGUUGUCGUCAGCUCGUGCCGUGAGGUGUCGGCUUAAGUGCCAUAACGAGCGCAACCCCCGCGUGCAGUUGCUAACAGAUAACGCUGAGGACUCUGCACGGACUGCCGGCGCAAGCCGCGAGGAAGGCGGGGAUGACGUCAAAUCAGCACGGCCCUUACGUCCGGGGCGACACACGUGUUACAAUGGGUGGUACAGCGGGAAGCCAGGCGGCGACGCCGAGCGGAACCCGAAAUCCACUCUCAGUUCGGAUCGGAGUUUGCAACCCGACUCCGUGAAGCUGGAUUCGCUAGUAAUCGCGCAUCAGCCAUGGCGCGGUGAAUACGUUCCCGGGCCUU